AAGAGCCAUAUGCGGGAAAAUCGAACUCACGGUUCUGUGAGGGGUAGUAGACAAUCCCUUCACGUUUAAUAACUUGGAAGGAGUGUCGGGACUGUCUACUCGAC
rnacentral:misc_RNA from 1 species